rnacentral:rRNA from 1 species
GCAGCACGGGGGCAACCCUGGUGGCGAGUGGCGAACGGGUGAGUAAUAUAUCGGAACGUACCCAAGAGUGGGGGAUAACGUAGCGAAAGUUACGCUAAUACCGCAUACGAUCUAAGGAUGAAAGCAGGGGACCGUAAGGCCUUGCGCUCCUGGAGCGGCCGAUAUCUGAUUAGCUAGUUGGUAGGGUAAAAGCCUACCAAGGCAUCGAUCAGUAGCUGGUCUGCGAGGACGACCAGCCACACUGGGACUGAGACACGGCCCAGACUCCUACGGGAGGCAGCAGUGGGGAAUUUUGGACAAUGGGGGCAACCCUGAUCCAGCAAUGCCGCGUGAGUGAAGAAGGCCUUCGGGUUGUAAAGCUCUUUUGUCAGGGAAGAAACGGUUUGUUCUAAUAAAGCAGACUAAUGACGGUACCUGAAGAAUAAGCACCGGCUAACUACGUGCCAGCAGCCGCGGUAAUACGUAGGGUGCAAGCGUUAAUCGGAAUUACUGGGCGUAAAGCGUGCGCAGGCGGUUAUGUAAGACAGAUGUGAAAUGCCCGGGCUCAACCUGGGAACUGCAUUUGUGACUGCAUGGCUAGAGUGUGUCAGAGGGGGGUAGAAUUCCACGUGUAGCAGUGAAAUGCNUAGAGAUGUGGAGGAAUACCGAUGGCGAANGCNGCCCCCUGNGAUAACACUGACGCUCAUGCACGAAAGCGUGGGGAGCAAACAGGAUUAGAUACCCUG